rnacentral:misc_RNA from 1 species
UCGAUUGCGAAUCGUUGCCUUCAGUGCUGGCCAGCUCUGGCAAGUGCACGUUGGUGACUUUCAUCCAAUACCCUUGUGCACCAUUGACCUCUUGCUAGCUUCGGUCGGCAGAGGUAUUUUUUUACACAAACUCGAAUGUAAUGAAAUUUAUUGUUGUGCGCAAGCACUAAUGUA